ACUGUGAGGAAGAUUCUCAAUGACCCUUCCACCAGCACUGGCCUCUGAAGACUUGCCUACGAUGUCUCCUGGACUAUGCAACUCCUGGUUCUACCAUAAGGGGAAAUAGUUUCAAUACGGAUUCAGCGGUCCUGGAUCGGGAAGAGGAUGGAGACGGGAGGACGGAAGUGGCGCAGAUGGAAGAAAGAGCAGGCUGUGAAGAGAAGGGGGCGCCGUCCCUCUCUUA